GCGCUGCCUGGCGCGCGAGGCGAGAACACGCCGUUCCGCUAUGACGGCGCGGUGUCCGCCGAGCUCGAGCGGGGGCGGUUCGAUCGCGUCGGGGCGCG
rnacentral:tRNA from 1 species